GUGGGGAAUAUUGGACAAUGGGCGAAAGCCUGAUCCAGCCAUGCCGCGUGUGUGAAGAAGGUCUUCGGAUUGUAAAGCACUUUAAGUUGGGAGGAAGGGCAGUAAGUUAAUACCUUGCUGUUUUGACGUUACCGACAGAAUAAGCACCGGCUAACUUCGUGUCAGCAGCCGCGGUAAUACGAAGGGUGCAAGCGUUAAUCGGAAUUACUGGGCGUAAAGCGCGCGUAGGUGGUUUUGUAAGUUGGAGGUGAAAUCCCCGGGCUCAACCUGGGAACUGCCUCCAAAACUGCAUGACUAGAGUACAGUAGAGGGUAGUGGAAUUUCCUGUGUAGCGGUGAAAUGCGUAGAUAUAGGAAGGAACACCAGUGGCGAAGGCGACUACCUGGACUGAUACUGACACUGAGGUGCGAAAGCGUGGGGAGCAAACAGGAUUAGAUACCCUUGUAGUCC
rnacentral:rRNA from 1 species